UCUAAAAUGGCAGACAGAUGCCUAGGAUUUAAGCUCCUAUUAGGAAGUUUUACUUCUUUUAGAA
rnacentral:tRNA from 1 species